rnacentral:lncRNA from 1 species
UAAAUAAUAAAGGAGCGGUCCAACGAUUUACAGAAAAGAGCGACGAUUUACAGAAAAGAACCGAAAAGAACCGAAAAGGACCAAAAAGAACCGAAAAGGACCGAAAAGAACCGAAAAGAGCAUACAUAUAAAUUAUUAUUUAAUAUAUAUACACCAAUUUUCCCCCCUCGUAAUAAAGGAAUGUAUAGUUCAAAUUUAUUUUGAACAUUUAUAGGGAUAUGUAGACUUACAAAAAAAGUUAGAUUUCCCUGUAUCAGAUUAAGGCAUUUAAAUAUUUAAAAAAAAAAAAAAAUCAAAGUGUCAUUUCCUUGCUUUAGAAAAUAGAAUUGUAAAAAACAUUUGAAGAAAAUUUCAAUUCCUGCUACAUGUAAACCAUGGCAAACUUUAAGAUGUUCCUGGUUCGUUUCAAUUUCUUAAUUCAAUUUACGGUAUAAAACGUUGGGCUACAUGUGAAUAAAAGGAGAUAAAUCAAUAAAAAAAAUACAUCAUUAUCUACAUAUUAUAAAUGUUGUGCACAUCACAGUCAUUUCAUUUCGUCUUUCAGGAAAUAUAGAUAAAUGAAUAGCGCACCCGCUUUCGAUAUAAUUGAUAACUGUUUACUCUUUUAUAGGUAUAGAUUAAAGGGUGUGAAAAAGUUAAUGGCCUGUUGAUUU